rnacentral:SRP_RNA from 1 species
AACCUAGAUGUUUGCGGCGAUUAUGCAGCGAACCGUGUCAGGAUGGAAACAUAGCAGCACUAAGUUGACGUUAACGGGUGUGAGCAUUUAGGGGGUA